AGGAACAUUUCCACAGCAGCUUAUGACACACCCUCCCUCAGGGUUUAGUAUCUGACAGUGAAAAUGUCUCAGUAAGAAGAGGAAGCAUCAUGAAGAGGCUAGCAGGCGCUGUGCUGGGGCUUUUAUUUGCCCAGAUUUGCUGUGUGCGAGGGGUGGAUGUGGAGCAGAGUCCCGCAGCCCUGAGUCUCCAGGAGGGAGCCAGCCACGUGCUGAGGUGUAAUUUUUCUGCCUCUGUGACCAGUGUACACUGGUAUCUUCAGAACCCCAGCGGCCGCCUUAUCCACCUGUUUUACAUUCCUUCAGGGACAAAGCAGGAAGGAAGACUAAAUGCCACAACAGUCCGCAAAGAACGCCGCAGCUCACUGCACAUUUCCUCUCCGCGGACCACAGACUCGGGCACUUACUUCUGCGCUGCGCAGCGCGGUGCUCCCCAGGCACCUGCGGCCUCUACACGAACCCUCCGGGGCGCAGCCCCUCCUCCAGCCCCAGUCACACCGUGGGCCCCACAGGGCAUUCGCAGUGCUGAUUGUCUCUUACCUGCACUGGUAGAGUUUAAUCACGGGCAUUUUCCACCUACAGAUUGUGAACUUCGGUCUUUGUCUUCCUUUCUCAACCUGUAUCUCCUUCUGCACUAGAGACUUCUAACUUGGAACUAGCAGAAUAGCCGAUAAGAGGACAAAAUAAAUAAAUAUUCAACCGUAGUAUGCUGAACUCAAAAGUGGUAAAAAGUGAGAAGAAUUCAGAGAAAAAAAUAACUCCAAUAAAGUUGUUAUCCUGAUUAGUUAGCUGUCUCAAGAAUGUUCAGAUCUGCCUCACCAGAAUGUGUCCCAAAAGACACUUGCAUCAUCCCAUCCUACGAGUGCAGCAAAGUGAGCAACAACAAUAAACCUUACUCAAUGUUUAGUAUGAGCUUAAUAACUUAGAAGAAAAUUAUUCUGGAUGCAAGAAAUCUUAAAUCUAUUUCCAUAGUCAAGGUCUUGGAAGAGUUGAUUCCUUCUUGAGAUCUAAGGGAUACAAGAUCCAUUUCCUCGCCUUUUUUAGCUUUUGAAGGCCAACUAAAUUCUUUGGUUCAUGACUCCUCCUUGAAUCACUAGAACUUCUUGCUUCCCUCACCGUAGCUCCUUCCUCUUUUGGAGUCAAAUAUCUUUCUGUCUCUGUCCUAUAAGGUAUAAAAAAUAUUAAACAGAAAUCUCAGUUAAAUAGAGUUGGGAGACAGGGGGAACUCUCAUGACCUGUGGACAUAGUGGAGGGCAAAGGUAAGAUGAAAUAUGCCUCUUAUUUCCUAGCAAGGACUCAGUCAAUGAAAAGCCAUGGGCUCUUGUUUACUGCAGCCCUCUCAGCUUCCUUUUUCAAUUUAUAUUGUCUUAAAUUCUUUUCAACGUCUUACAGUUUUCAGAGAACUGGUCUUUCACUUUAUUGGUUAAAUUUAUUCCUAGGUAUUUUUGAUUCUUUUUGAUUCAACUAGAAAUUGGAUUGCUUUCUUAAAUUCUUAAUAAUAGUUAUUAUUAGUAUAUAGAAAUGCACAAAUUUCUGUAGAUUAAUCUUGUAUCCUGCAACUUUAUCUUGUAAUCAACUUUGUUGAUUGUUUAUAUUAGUUUUUUUCCGUGGCAUCUUUACAAUUUUCUAUGUAGAGUAUUAUGCUGUCUGUAAUUAGAGACAGUUUACCUCUUUCUGUUCAACUUGGAUGCCAAUUAUUUCUUUUUCCUAUGUGAUUACUGAGACUAGGACUUCCAGUACUAUGUUAAAUAGGAAUGGUGAGAGUUGCAUCCUUGUCUUGUUACUGAUCUUAGAGAAAAAGAUUAAAUUUUUUACCAUUUAGUAGGAUGUCAGCUGUAGAUUUGUAACAAAUGAUCUAUUAUUUUGAGGCGUGCUCUCUUUAUACCAAAUAUAUUGACAGUUUUUUCCAUGAAUGUUAAAUCUUGUCAAAAUCCUUUUCUGCAUUUAUUGACAUAGUCGUGUAAUUUUUAUCCUUUAUUCUGCUAACCUGGUAUAUCACCUUGCUUGAUUUGUGGAUAGUGAACCAUCGUUGCACACCUGAAAUAAAUCUCUUGAUCAUGAUGCAUGAUUCUUUCAAGUUUUGUUGAAUUCAGUUUGCUACUAUUUUGUUAAGAAUUUUUGCAUCUAUAUUCCUCAGAAAUAUAAGCCUGAAUUUUCUUUUCUGUAGAAUCUUUGUUUGAUUUUGGUGUCAGGAUAUUGUAGGCCUCAGAGAAUGAGAGUGAGAGCAUUUCCUCAUCUUUGAUUUUUAGGGAUAAUUUGCAUAGGGUGAGUACUAAUUUUCCUUUAAAUAUUCAGUUGAAUUUCUUCUUGAAGCAUAUGGCCCUGGAUUUCUGUUUCUCAGGAAUUUUUUGAUUACUGGUUCAACUUAAUUACUAGUAAUUGGUCUGUUCAAAUUUUCUUUUUCUUUCAUAUUCCAUCUUGGAAGACUGUGUGUGUCCAGGAAUGUAUCGCUUUUACAGUCAUAUUUUUAGGUUCCAGGCAAUAGGACUUGAAUAACUUUGGGAGUCCUUUUUCAGGCUACCACAUUUAUCACGGCAACUCUGGCUAUCCAUUUUCCACCCCUCUGGCACUUGCUGUUAUCUGCUUGUUUAUUUGCCUAGUGACUUGAUUAUUUCAGGUAAGUUAAUGUUUCCCAUACUGUACAGCCUAUGAUGUUGUUCCUCAAAGGAUAUAGUCUUGGGUACAUUCUCAGACAUCCUAAUGCAGUAGUGGGUUAGCAAGGCUCUUUAACAGUCUUUUUCUCUAAUUUCUAUGCUAGACUAUAUGCUUCUGUUUGUAUUCAGUUCAGUUCAGUUCAGCCACUCAUUCGUGUCCGACUCUCUGCGACCCCAUGAAUCGCAGCACGCCAGGCCUCUCUGUCCAUCACCAACUCCCAGAGUUUACUCAAACUCAUGUCCAUCGAGUCAGUGACGCCAGCCAGCCAUCUCAUCCUCUGUCGUCCCCUUCCCCUCCUGCCCCCAAUCCCUCCCAGCAUCAGGGUCUUUUCCAACGAGUCAACUCUUCUCAUGAGGUGGCCAAAGUAUUGGAAUUUCAGCUUCAGCAUCAGUCCUUCCAAUGAACACUCAGGACUGAUCUCCUUUAGGAUGGACUAAUUGGAUCUCCUUGCAGUCCAAGGGACUCUCAAGAGUCUUCUCUAACACUACAGUUCAAAAGCAUCAAUUCUUUGGCACCUAGGCAAUAGACUCCACUAAUCGCUGGCUGAUUUUUUUCCAACAAUGUUAUGAAGCCAUAAAUUGUUCCCAGGACUCAUCUAAUUAAAUCAAGCCUGUUUGCAGAGACAGCCUUUGAAACUUUUCUUUGAGAUCUUCUGACCAGAGAGGACUUUUCCUUGCUCUCCCCUUUCCUGUACUUUCUGUUAAGAUUUUAAGUUGAUGUCUAUGAAUUAAAUUAACUUGUUGCUUUCA